rnacentral:lncRNA from 1 species
AGCAGAGUCUCAACAGCGGUAAGAGGAAGCUGCAAAAAAAAAAACUCCAGUGCCUUCUUCAGUGUGCUUAAACAAAAUCCACACAGGAUCUUAGCAGCUAAAAGCAGCUUUAUUUACAGCAGGCUAUCCAUUAUCUAUCACAGCGAACAGCAUCGCGAAAACACGUCCUCUCUCCUCAAAAGCGAAAGUAGAGAGACAGAACAAAGACUUUAGUCUCUCGGAACUGACGUAGCAUUUCCCCCCUCCCACCAGUAGGCAGGGCGUACAGUCUGAGCUGUUUAACCCUGUAAGCUCAGGUUUUCCUCACACCCCCUCUCGCCCUGCGCUACUGUGGGGAAAGUAAGUACAGAACUUACCCCCAACUCCAAACCACCACAAAACUCCCCAUGACGCUGGAAGCUUAAAGGUUUGGUAAAUCCAUCGGCCAGGUUACUGUGACUGGCACAGUACUUCAGUCGUAUCAAACCUGACUGAACACUCUGACACACAUUUCGGAAACGUAUGUCCAGAUGCUUGGUUCUCGCCUUAAAUUGCGCAGAUUCAGCCAACUUCAAAUAAGGCUGAUUGUCUUCCCAAACCGUGAUGGGCAAGCUACAAUCCCCAUAGAUCUCUUGCACCAAGCAUCUAUAGAACUCAAGUUCUCGGCACAAAUAUGACAGUGCACUGAAUUCAGCCUCAGUAGAAGACAGCGCAAUGAGACUUUGCUUCCGGGACUUCCACCCAACCAGUGACUUCCCAAACUUUAUCACCAACCCAGACACAGACUUGCGGUCCUGCGAAUCCGCCCAGUCACUGUCCGCAUAGCAUGUGAGCUUCGCCUCACCUUCAGCUGGCAGCUUAAGACAGAAGUCUUUGGUAUGCUGCAGGUAACGCAGUACCCGCUUGAUACCGUGCCAAGCACUCACACUGGGCUUUGACGCUUCCCUACUUAGCAGGUUGGUAGCAAAGGCAAUGUCUGGUCUGCUCCAUUGGGACAGAUACAACAGACUGCCUAGAGCUGACUGAAAGAGCUCAGCAUUCUCAAACUCAGCACUUUCUGCUUGCUGGCUAUCUUUCACGAAGUUCGUCUCCAUGGGUGUCCGAACUCCUGCACAAUCGGACAUUCUGAACUUCUCCAGCAACUGCUCAAUCUUGCCUUUCUGACUGAGCAAGAAGCUACCAUCCUCAGUUCUCGCUAUCUGGACACCUAGGUAGAUCUUUACUGCACCCAGGUUCUUGAGCUGAAACCGUUUCCCAAGCUCUUUGGCAAACUUCUGCACCUGUUUGUCUGCCUUUCCAACAUGGAUGAUGUCAUCAACGUAAAACAACACCAGUUCCUGUGAGUCUCCUGAUCCUCUAAGGAACAGGCAACUGUCAGCAAGACUCUUCCUGAAACCUAGCUUCUCCAAAGCUUCAUUCAGGCACAAGUUCCAAUUCCUGGCCGACUGCUUCAGGCCGUAAAUUGACUUGUGAAGUUUCCACACAGUACCUCGCUCAUUGCCCUCAAACCCUGGAGGAGGAAGCAUGUACAGAUCCUCCUGGAGGUCUGAGUUCAAGUAAGCAACAUCCACAUCAAAAUGAUGCACCAGCAAACCUCUUUGUGUAGCGAUGGCCAAGACCAAGCGUAGAGACUCACUCCUACACGUGGGCGCAUAACUCUCCGUAUAAUGCAACCCCCUCUGCUGCGUGAAUCCUCUCGCCACUAAUCUGGCCUUAUACUGCGGUUCUCCUGUCGCUGUGGGCUUAAGACGGUAAACCCAGCGACUACCCACUGCCUUUUCACCCACCGGCAACUUCGUGAGGGAGAACACACCUAGAGACUCCAUUGAGUUCAUCUCCUUCUGUAUCGCCUCAUGCCAUUUCCUGGCUUCUUCCUGAGGAAGUUUCUGAACAUCCUCAAAACUCUCGGGUUCACACUGUGCCAUUCCGACCCACACACUAGUGACGGCAAACCUUUCAGGAGGUUUCCCCUUGGUCGUCCGUGUUGAACGGCGUAGCACUACUUCAGG